ensembl:piRNA 21ur-5164 ncRNA
UAGUGUGCAAAAAUUGAAUAC